CAGCAGCCGCGGUAAAACGUAGGGUGCAAGCGUUAAUCGGAAUUACUGGGCGUAAAGCGUGCGCAGGCGGUUAUAUAAGACAGAUGUGAAAUCCCCGGGCUCAACCUGGGAACUGCAUUUGUGACUGUAUAGCUAGAGUACGGCAGAGGGGGAUGGAAUUCCGCGUGUAGCAGUGAAAUGCGUAGAUAUGCGGAGGAACACCGAUGGCGAAGGCAAUCCCCUGGGCCUGUACUGACGCUCAUGCACGAAAGCGUGGGGAGCAAACAGGAUUAGAGACCCCCGUAGUCCCUGUCUCUUAUAC
rnacentral:rRNA from 1 species